rnacentral:rRNA from 1 species
AUUGAACGCUGGCGGCAUGCCUUACACAUGCAAGUCGAACGGCAGCACGGGAGCAAUCCUGGUGGCGAGUGGCGAACGGGUGAGUAAUACAUCGGAACGUGCCCAGUAGUGGGGGAUAGCCCGGCGAAAGCCGGAUUAAUACCGCAUACGACCUGAGGGUGAAAGCGGGGGAUCGCAAGACCUCGCGCUAUUGGAGCGGCCGAUGUCAGAUUAGCUAGNGGUGGGGUAAAGGCCUACCAAGGCUACGAUCUGUAGUUGGUCUGAGAGGACGACCAGCCACACUGGGACUGAGACACGGCCCAGACUCCUACGGGAGGCAGCAGUGGGGAAUUUUGGACAAUGGGGGCAACCCUGAUCCAGCAAUGCCGCGUGCAGGAAGAAGGCCUGGUGUUAA